CCUACGGGAGGCAGCAGUGAGGAAUUUUGGUCAAUGGGCGAUAGUCUGAACCAGCGAAGUAGCGUGAAGGAUGAAUGCCCUAUGGGUUGUAAACUUCUUUUAUAUGGGAAUAAAGUGCAGAAUGUAUACUGCUUUGCAUGUACCUUAUGAAUACGGAUCGGCUAACUCCGUGCCAGCAGCCGCGGUAAUACGGAGGAUCCGAGCGUUAUCCGGAAUUAUUGGGUUUAAAGGGAGCGUAGGCGGGUUGGUAAGUCAGUUGUGAAAGGUUGCGGCUCAACCGUAAAAUUGCAGUUGAUACUGGCAUCCUUGAGUACAGUAGAGGUAGGCGGAAUUCGUGGUGUAGCGGUGAAAUGCUUAGAUAUGACGAAGAACUCCGAUGGCGAAGGCAGCCUGCUGGACUGUAACUGACGCUGAUGCUCGAAAGUGAGGGUAUCAAACAGGAUUAGAUACCCGAGUAGUC
rnacentral:rRNA from 1 species